rnacentral:rRNA from 1 species
GACGAACGCUGGCGGCGUGCCUAAUACAUGCAAGUCGAACGCUUCUUUUUCCACCGGAGCUUGCUCCACCGGAAAAAGAGGAGUGGCGAACGGGUGAGUAACACGUGGGUAACCUGCCCAUCAGAAGGGGAUAACACUUGGAAACAGGUGCUAAUACCGUAUAACAAUCGAAACCGCAUGGUUUUGAUUUGAAGGGCGCUUUCGGGUGUCGCUGAUGGAUGGACCCGCGGUGCAUUAGCCAGUUGGUGAGGUAACGGCUCACCAAGGCCACGAUGCAUAGCCGACCUGAGAGGGUGAUCGGCCACACUGGGACUGAGACACGGCCCAGACUCCUACGGGAGGCAGCAGUAGGGAAUCUUCGGCAAUGGACGAAAGUCUGACCGAGCAACGCCGCGUGAGUGAAGAAGGUUUUCGGAUCGUAAAACUCUGUUGUUAGAGAAGAACAAGGACGUUAGUAACUGAACGUCCCCUGACGGUAUCUAACCAGAAAGCCACGGCUAACUACGUGCCAGCAGCCGCGGUAAUACGUAGGUGGCAAGCGUUGUCCGGAUUUAUUGGGCGUAAAGCGAGCGCAGGCGGUUUCUUAAGUCUGAUGUGAAAGCCCCCGGCUCAACCGGGGAGGGUCAUUGGAAACUGGGAGACUUGAGUGCAGAAGAGGAGAGUGGAAUUCCAUGUGUAGCGGUGAAAUGCGUAGAUAUAUGGAGGAACACCAGUGGCGAAGGCGGCUCUCUGGUCUGUAACUGACGCUGAGGCUCGAAAGCGUGGGGAGCAAACAGG